rnacentral:rRNA from 1 species
AGGGUUUGAUCAUGGCUCAGGACGAACGCUGGCGGUGCGCCUUAUGCAUGCAAGUCGAGCGAAGCUUUUCAGUAGUUUACUACAGAAAAUGACUGAGCGGCGAACGGGUGAGUAACGCGUGAGCAAUCUACCUUAGUUACAGGGAUAGCCCGAGGAAACUCGGAUUAAUACCUGAUAUUCUUUAUUUCUCGCAUGAGAAUAAAAGGAAAGGUCAGCCGAACUAAGAUGAGCUCGCGUUCUAUCAGCUAGUUGGUGAGGUAAAAGCUUACCAAGGCUACGACGGAUAGCUGGUCUGAGAGGACGAUCAGCCACGCUGGGACUGAGACACGGCCCAGACUCCUACGGGAGGCUGCAGCAGGGAAUAUUGGACAAUGGGGGAAACCCUGAUCCAGGCAUGCCGCGUGUGUGAAGAAGGCCUUAGGGUUGUAAAGCACUUUAAGUGAGGAAGAAAAGAUUUAAAUUAAUACUUUAAGUCCCUGACAUUACUCACAGAAUAAGGACCGGCUAACUCCGUGCCAGCCGCCGCGG